rnacentral:rRNA from 1 species
UGGCUCAGGAUGAACGCUGGCGGCAGGCUUAACACAUGCAAGUCGAGGGGCAGCAUGGGCAUAGCAAUAUGCCCGAUGGCGACCGGCGCACUGGUGAGUAACACGUAUGCAACCUGCCCCCUACAGGGGGAUAAUCCAGAGAAAUUUGGUCUAAUACCCCGUAGUCAGCGAGAGGGCAUCCUCUCGUUGGGAAAGCUCCGGCGGUAGGGGAUGGGCAUGCGGCGCAUUAGCUGGUUGGCGGGGCGACGGCCCACCAAGGCGACGAUGCGUAGGGGUUCUGAGAGGAAGGUCCCCCACACUGGUACUGAGACACAGACCAGACUCCUACGGGAGGCAGCAGUGGGGAAUA